UACCAGCUCCUCGAGUGGUCGGGACGAUUAUUGGGCCUAAAGCACCCGUAGCCGGUUCGGUGAGUCCUCUGUCAAAUCCAACCGCUCAACGGUUGGCUCGCAGAGGAUACUGCCGGACUAGGAGGCGGGAGAGGCGGACGGUACUCCGCGUGUAGGGGUAAAAUCCUUUGAUCCGCGGAAGACCACCAGUGGCGAAGGCGGUCCGCCAGAACGCGCUCGACGGUGAGGGGUGAAAGCUGGGGGAGCGAACCGGAUUAGAUACCCGGGUAGUCCCAGCCGUAAACGAUGCGAGCUAGAUGAUUCAAUCGCAGUACGCGAUCGAAGUGUCGCAGGGAAGCCGUUAAGCUCGCCGCCUGGGGAGUACGGUCGCAAGGCUGAAACAACGGAGCCGGGAUACGAUUCGAACGUCCAGCCGACGUCGGACGAUUUCGGCGUGCUAUCAGAAGGCAAGGCCUUUCGUAAUUCGCAAGACGUCAGUCGAAUGACACAGCUAUACGCGCAAACGAAGGGAACAAACAAGCAAGAUCAAUCAACGAGCUGACAGCAACCAGAAAACGGAUACAAGAUCCGACUCCGCUGCAGCACACUUAAAGGAAUUGGCGGGGGAGCACCACAAGGGGUGAAGCCUGCGGUUCAAUUGGAGUCAACGCCAGGAAACUUACCAGGAGCGACAGCAGGUUGAGGGUCAGGCUGAAGACUUUACCUGACGAGCUGAGAGGAGGUGCAUGGCCGUCGCCAGCUCGUGCCGUGAGGCGUCCUGUUAAGUCAGGCAACGAGCGAGACCCUUGCCGAUAAUUGCUAGCCGGGGUAGUAGUAUCCCGGAGGCUAGUUAUCGGGACUGCCGCUGCUAAAGCGGAGGAAGGAGAGGGCCACGGCAGGUCAGUAUGCCCCGAAACUCCUGGGCCACACGCGGGCUGCAAUGGUAGGGACAGUGGGUCCCGACCUCGACAGAGGAAGGCAAUCCUCAAACCCUACCCCAGUUGUGAUUGAGGGCUGAAACCCGCCCUCAUGAAUAUGGAAUCCCUAGUAACCGCGUGUCAUCACCGCGCGGUGAAUACGUCCCUACUCCU
rnacentral:rRNA from 1 species